AAACCAGUGAUGAUUCCAUGACCUAUGGCUUUUUCUUAGAGUAUGCAAAAAAAAAAAAUUCAAUUAUCUUUAUGUGGUUCACCAAGAUAACUGAGACCUGGUGGUAAAGCUGGUUCAACCAUGACCCGAAAUCAGUGUCUUGAUUGUUCUUCCUUUAUCCAUUCUUCCACCAUGAAUGUGAUGAUUAGGUUAAUGCAGUGCACUUGAAACAUUAUGUGUGCAAUGUAUGUUACCUUCAUAUAAUUGAAAUAUGAAACCAGUAAUGCAUUACAAACAAAUGUCAUCUUAAUUAUCGAUCAAUUCUAACAACAAAACUAUAAAUAAUCAUUCGUUUAAUUGGAAAUCUGCACUUUAAAUUCUACAUUCAAAUCAGAAGUUGUGAUUAGAGGCAAGCUUGAUCACAGACAACCUAAUCAGAGGAGGCUUGACUAGAGGCAACAUGAUAUGAGAAAACAUGACCAGAAGUAAGACACAAGGGAAAUAGCAUAUGCUAACCAAGGAGACACGGUAGAGGCAAAGUAGAAGGAGAAAAUCAGAGCAAAGUUGAAGAGUGCUACUAGAGGCAAAAUAGAAGAAUAUUACCACAUUAAAAAUAUUUAGAACUGUAAAAGGGGAUCAGAGGCCAAUUGCCUAAAAACGUAAAAUAGCAAUCAGAGGCAAAAUACCCAGAAUUAGACGUAAGGAGGUACUCUUGAGGUUUUAAAAUAUACUAACCCUGUGUUUCACUCAUCAAAAUUUAUUGUAUUCUUUAGAUUUCUAGCAAUUCAUAACAUCACAAAUUUGAAUGCAUCAUACACAUUAUAUAUAAAAAUGCAGGAUUCAAAAGGUAGUUUCACAAAUAUUUAUUUCAUGCUAAAAUUUAUGAUUUCCCGUACCCUCAAAUUUUAUGAAACUCCAUAAAUCAUUUUAACUCUUUAAUAUUCAUUAGAAUCAACACCAAUAAACACCAUAAAAAAAUAAAAAAAUUUAAAGAACUCAUUGCUUUAUACAAAAGUUUUCUCUUCGAUUCUAGUUGAUUUGUGGUAGCUAUCUACUUCCCAGUUUUCUACCUCUUCGGUUUUCGCACCUUGCUCCAACUUUUUUGAAGUUUUUCCUUGUUGUUGCUUAUCUUCUCCUCAAUACGAUUUGAUCGAUUAUUGAUGGUUGAGGGAUGAGAUCGUGCAUGCAAUCGGUCAAAGCAAGUCUGAUGAGGUUUAGUAAAUUAAAAUUUUUGGAGAUUUUGAAAAAGAAAAAGGAAUAGAGGAUUUGGGGAAGAUGAUGAACAAUACGAUUUUGGGGUUUUCUCCCCGUUCUUGGGAUCGAGAAGGAAGAAAUAAG
rnacentral:lncRNA from 1 species